rnacentral:rRNA from 1 species
GUGAGGAAUAUUGGUCAAUGGGCGCAAGCCUGAACCAGCCAUGCCGCGUGCAGGAUGACUGCCCUAUGGGUUGUAAACUGCUUUUAUACGGGAAGAAACCCCUCCACGUGUGGAGGAUUGACGGUACCGUAAGAAUAAGGAUCGGCUAACUCCGUGCCAGCAGCCGCGGUAAUACGGAGGAUCCAAGCGUUAUCCGGAAUCAUUGGGUUUAAAGGGUCCGUAGGCGGGUCUGUAAGUCAGUGGUGAAAUCUCCCGGCUCAACCGGGAAACUGCCAUUGAUACUGCAGGUCUUGAAUGUUUGUGAAGUAACUAGAAUAUGUAGUGUAGCGGUGAAAUGCUUAGAUAUUACAUGGAAUACCGAUUGCGAAGGCAGGUUACUAACAAAUGAUUGACGCUGAUGGACGAAAGCGUGGGGAGCGAACAGGAUUAGAAACCCUGGUAGUCC